UAAGAAAAAAAAGUUUUGCAACGCUGGAGUGGAAACAUAGGCAGCCAUUAAUGAUAAAGCCCGGCAGACGCCCAUUUUUAUCAGUGACGUUCUACGUUCAAGUGUGUCAUGUUGUUAUUUUUUCCCUAAAAGAAUCCAAGGGCAGGCAUUUAUCUAUGAUGUUGUGAACAAUCUUGGAUCUAUGGCAGCUCGAUUUAUUUUUCUCUCAAUUGAGGAGAGCAGCUAUUUUUCUUUUGCCCAGAUGUUAGACAGACAAAUCCCAAUUGACCAGCAGCCACGCCAGGUUCCAUUAUUGUUGCCUUUUGACAAUACAAUCAAGACAAUGUAAUCUGGCUGGAUGGAUCUAGGAAGAAACCGGAUGCAUGUUUUGUUAUGGGCUUUAUGAAAUUGAUGGGAAUGAAAGCUUACUGAAGGAUGCAGAAAUGACGUCAGGAAUAACAGCAUUCGGCCAACGGUAAUUACGACCGAUGAUUGCAUUUAAAAGCUGUUUGAUCGACUGGAUACCGGAAAUAUCGCCUUCAAACAUAUCGGUUGCGUAACGAGGUGCUACCCAAUUCGAACUCAAGAAUCAUCCACAGCUUGUGGUUUAUUAAUGGCCAAUAUCAGAAUUUGUGAGCCAAGCUGUUGUGUGGAAUGAAACCUACCAUGCUUGAAGAUGGAUAUGACGAUAGACGGAUGCGGUUAACAUGAAACAUCUACCAACACAUACUUCAUCUUCCUCCUCACUUGGGUUGAGUAUUUAAUGUUAACGCCAGAUUUUCGUCUUCCCGUGCGUGGUCAAAGACCCGACGGGUUGGCCGAAGGCCCCAACACUCCUGACAAAAUCCUUCCCUAAGUCCACCUUUUUACCUAACCCCGUGAGUUUAACCCAUAUUCGAGAGGCGAGCAUCUGGCCUAAUAUAUCAUAUAUUUCAUAGUAUAAGUUUUUGCGUGUUUAUUUUAAAUGUGAUUAUUUUUCUAAUUUUGUUAAUAUGAUUAAACAAGUACAAAGUAAAGUUAAGAGUAAAUUAAUAUUAUUAGGAAAAAGGGUAAUUUCAUUACACACCAUUUAAAAAGAAAAAUUCAAAAAUUAAUUAGAUAAUUAGAUAAAAAAAUUGUAAAUUGAAUAUUUGUCAUUGUCAAAUGAAUAACGUAAUAUAAAAAAAUUAGUCUUUAAAAUAACAUUGUCAAUUGAAACCAUAGAAUAACAUAACGCAACAUUACAUAAAAUUAAAAUAGAAAAAUUUAGUAACAUAAAAAAAUGAGUCUGUAAAAAAACAUGGUCAAAUGAAUAACGCAAUAUAAUAAAAAUUAGUCUGUAAAAAAA